rfam:Canis lupus familiaris chromosome 3, whole genome shotgun sequence.
GCCUGGCUGGCUUAGUCAGAAGAGCAUGCGACUCUUGAUCUCAAGGUUGUGAGUUAGAGCCCCAUGUUGGGUA